CCCAGCUUUUAACAACUACCCAACCCCCUGUUGAACUACCAAUUGUUGCCUCGGCGGAUCAGCCCGCUCCCGGUAAAACGGGACGGCCCGCCAGAGGACCCCUAAACUCUGUUUCUAUAUGUAACUUCUGAGUAAAACCAUAAAUAAAUCAAAACUUUCAACAACGGAUCUCUUGGUUCUGGCAUCGAUGAAGAACGCAGCAAAAUGCGAUAAGUAAUGUGAAUUGCAGAAUUCAGUGAAUCAUCGAAUCUUUGAACGCACAUUGCGCCCGCCAGUAUUCUGGCGGGCAUGCCUGUUCGAGCGUCAUUUCAACCCUCAAGCCCCCGGGUUUGGUGUUGGGGAUCGGCGAGCCCUUGCGGCAAGCCGGCCCCGAAAUCUAGUGGCGGUCUCGCUGCAGCUUCCAUUGCGUAGUANUAAAACCCUCGCAACUGGUACGCGGCGCGGCCAAGCCGUAAACCCCCCAACUUCUGAAUG
rnacentral:misc_RNA from 1 species